rnacentral:misc_RNA from 1 species
CUGGUGGAGUCGGAGUAGAAGUCCAAUUACGGUGGUGCUCGCCGGAAAAAAGACAAAAAUAUAUAAUUAUGAAAGAGAACUCCGUCUCUACCUGACUCUGAAGAUUAUAUGAUACUACAGAAUCGGCACAAUGAGAGGAAAAGGAAAUCAGAAUCAGGACGAGGAAGAGUACGAGGAGGAGUUUGGUUCCAGAAAAGAAGGAGCCUGUUCGAAUGUCAUUAACAACAACAUAACUCUAAAGAUGGGAAGAAUAUUGAUAAGGCUAAUGCAAUAAGAUCGAAGCAUUCAGUCACUGAGCAGCGAAGAAGGAGUAAGAUCAAUGAGAGAUUUCAGAUAUUGAG